CCCCGACAUGCUUUUUUGUUUUGGCCUGUUUGCUCUCUUAUUAUAUAAUACAGUCGUAGCUAACGUGAAGACCAACCUGACACGUGAUCAUAUGAAAAAUCCAACGAGAGACCGGGUGCACUUGAUGAAUAUGGUCAGUUCAGAGAAUGAUAAAGAAAACAAAAGUAUUUAUAAUGUUGAUGAUGCAGAUGAGAAGAAAAUGGUCAUAUUCAGUCACCACUUGCACUGUCAAAGACAGAUGCUAGAAUCCAAAUCGGACUAUGCCUGGGUCAUAGCUUUACUGGAAUAUAUCCAUCUUUCUUUCCCACCGAAGACAGGAAAUUAAAGUUGGCUUAAAUCAAUAGAUAUAUCAAUUAGUUUUUUGUUUUUUUUAAAUUAUUAUUAUGAGUGUUUUCCCAAUUUCAACCAAAUAUCACUGUUUUCCUCAAUGUGAAUGAUCAUUGCCCUUGAAAUCAAAUGUUAAAUAAAUCCCUUGAUUUAUGUCAAUUAUUAAUUUAGUUAAAAGUAAUGAAAGCAAGGAUUAAUUAAUUCAACAGUGGACAAUAUUUAGAAGAAGUGAAAUUUUGAUACAAGACAUAUCUUUAGAGCAUUUUCAAGUGAAUGGUAAAUCACCAUUCAGUUUUGUGAAAAAUGUGGCCUUUUUCACAUUGGGAAUCAGACUUGCUAUUGUACCCAGUUUUAGAGGAUUGAGAAUCCUUAUUCGAUUCGAACUGGGUAUAGCACUAGCUUUAGUAGCAAACACUACUGACAUUCAUUUUUUACCACAGAUAUUGGGUAGAACUCUCAUCCAUUUUUUACCUCAGAAACAGGGUGUAACUAUUAUUGAUUUUGUUCCACAGAAACUAGGUAUAUCUCUCAUUGAUUUUGUCCAACAGAAACUGGGUAUAACUCUCAUCCAUUUGUUAUCAUUCACAUAAACUGGGUAUAACUCUCAUCCAUUUGUUAUCAUUCACAUAAACUGGGUAUAACUUGCAUUGAUUUUGUAUGACAGAAACUGGGUAUAACUUGCAUUCAUUUUUCACUAUAGAAACUUGGUAUACGUCUCAUCUAUAUUGUAUUACAGAAUUAAACUGGGUAUAAGCACUAGCCUUAUUACCUUGCAUCAUGGCUAGUGAAUAAUCUAAAACUGAUUACAGAGUGAACAUUGUGAAGUGACUCAAAUCAUUAACACAUGCUGAUAAAAAUGAUCAUCUAACCUUGCAGGUUUUAAUCUUGCAGUAAAGAUCUGUUUUAUUUUAUAAAUUGAACAUUUCAUUAUUCACACAAACUUGCAACUCAGUAUGUUUCAUAUUAUCUAUGAAGAAGACCAGUAAUCACCAAAUGGCAAUAAUUAUAUAUAUUAUGUGUGUGUGUGUGUCUAAAUUUGAUAUAUCUCAAAAUUUUCAGUAAUGUAUUCACCUUGUCUUUAAUCUAUGGAUAUGCAUGUCUAUAUAGUACAUCAUGUUUUUAGAAAAAUAUGAAAUAAAGCUUCUUAAAGUCUGAAAAUGUUAAUUCUGUUGGUAAUAUCUUGUCCUUUUAAUUAUUACCGGUAAGAUGUUCUUAUAUGCAUAUAUGCAUAGAGUUUGCGAUGUGAUGUCACAAACCUACGCAUAUAAAUACAUGUUUACAUUAUGAUAAAAGUGUGUACCCAUUAUUCAUCUGAUGUAUAGACCAGACUGUGUGCGUCUGACUCCAAGGUAUGGCUUUUUAAGGAGAUACUGUGUUGCAGAUGCUGUCAGAGACACUAAUGUGUGCUUUAGACAUGGAUGAGCUAGCAAUUCAAUUUUGACUGUGAAUUGUAUUCAGUUGGGAAUGUUAUAUGAAAAAGGACAUAACAGUGCACAUGUUUCUAUUCUUGUAUCAAAUUUUAUUUUUGCAUGUUUGUUACUGAUGCUAAAUAAAAGCAACCUGAAAAUGCAGAUCAGUCUUUAGAUAAACUAUCCAUUAACCAAUGAUUUAAUGAAAAUAUAUCAAUAUAUUAGCAAUUUCAAAAUACAGUUUUCGAACCAAAAAUGGACUCUAAGGCUAUACCAUUGGUAUGUAAUUCAGUACAUGUAGUUCAGGACAAAGUGGCUAGAUGGAUGUCAAUGUCAUGUUAGUAUGGUAGUGUCAAUUGAAGAAAGUAUAGAGGCAUGAAUUGUUAUAAUAGCAUUUUGUGUCCCAAUUACUAGUAUUAUGUAAUAAGCACAAGGACAUGUUGCAUAUUUUAUGCCUUUACUGAAGUUGAGGAUGGACAUUCAACUCUUCAGUGUCAUAUAUUUAUUUUGAAACCUUAAGAAUUUAUUAGAUGCAUAACAGGAGUGGUGUUUUAUAUUUGGGCACAUUUCAUUUCUGAAAAUGUUGAUAAAGUAUUUAGUUUUCAUUUUGUUUUCUUUCAUCUCUAAAUUUUGUAUCCAUCAUAUCCAACAGUGAAGAAAAGUACAUUUACAGCCAUGCUUAAUUUCAUGAGACAGUUUGCAAUCAUUGAAAUUUAGUUCUCUUGAAUAAACUCUUAAAUAUAGAAAACUUAAGCAAUGAAUAAAUACAUCAUUGUAUCCUUGUGAAAAUAAGGUCUCGUAAAAUAAAAGUGAUCAACAGUAUUGUCUUUUGGUAGCCCGCUGGGACAAUUUUCUGGAGAGCGAUUGCCAUGACCCUGGUGUCUGAGUUGGACUGUCACUCUUCAACGUGGGUUAUAUCUUUUGAACCAAGGGGGAUAGGGUUUGGAUAUUUCACAUAAAGAUGUCUCAUAAAGAGACUUCUCUUUUGGUGUUAAGACUAAUGACCUUGGGCUUUGACCUACUUUUCAAAAACUUUAACCUGGGCUAUAUCUUUUAAACUAGGGAGGGAGGGGGUUGACUUUGAUAUUUUACAUAUUGAUGCCGCAUGAAGAAACCCUUGUUUUGGUACCAAGACGUUUGACCUAAUGACCUUGGUCUUGAUUUUUGACCUACUUUUCAAAAACUUUAAUAACCUGGGGUAAUCUUUUAAAGCAAGUGGGAUUGGGCUUUGAUAUUUCAAAUAUAGAUGUUUCAUUACAGGACAUUUCUUUUAGUUCCAGAACUAUUAACCUAGGAUUUUUACCUAGUUUUCAUAAAAUUGUUACCUACUUUUCAUAAAACUGUUACUAACUUUUCAUAAAACUUUACCUGGUCUAUGUCUUAGAACCAGAGGGGAUAGGGAUUGAUAUUUUACAUAAAGAUGCCUCAUGAAGAGAUCCUCCUUUUCUUUUCAAGACUUUUAGACCUAGUGACCUUUACUGUGGACUUUAACCUACUUUUCAAAAAUUUAAACCUUUCCUAUAUCUUUUGAACCAAGGGAGAUAGGGAUUUUGAUAUUUCAUAUUUAGAUGCCUCAUGGCUAGACCUUUCAUAUGGUAUCAAAACUGACCUUGGACUUUGACCCACUUUUCAAAAACUUAAACCUUUUUUGAAUUAAAGGGGAUAGGUUCUUAGAUUCAUGCUUGUUGGCAAGCUAUAUUGUCUUCUGACAUUAACUCUUGUUUUUUCUGGUAUGGCCUUGUAUUGAAACAUAAAUAAGAUAUAAUUGUAAUGGAGUGUGAUGGUUAAAAAUCACACAAAAGCCUACUUCCACCUUCCUGUUGGGGAGAAGUAAUUGGCAUGUAGUUGUGGAAUAAGUUUAUAAUAUUAACAGAUCUUGACAAUAUUGUAACUCUAGGAAAUAAAGUUUAAAUCUCUUUGAAAAUGAAAAAAACCUAAAAAAGUAUGGAAAUGAAGUGAGUCCAUUCUUGUUAAUCUGUCACCUUUUACUAUUAGGAAAAUAUGGUGGUACCUGUAUAAUGAAUUUGGUGAUGAAUUGAAUAUCUUUUCCACAGUUUUAAUGUAAAAAUGCGUAAUGGCCAACAAUAAAGAUUGUGACACUCUGCAACUGUCAUGUGUAAACAACUGUCAUGUGUAAACAACUGUCAUGUGUAAACAACUGUCAUGUGUAAACAACUGUCAUGUGUAAACAACUGUGUUAAGGAAAUUAAUACUUGCUGUUAAUCCAUUCUCACAUGUUCCCUGUACUGGGUUUAAAUCAAUCUCUGUUGGCAGUAGAAAGAAAUCUAACAUCCAAAGUUGGAUAAUUUGGAAAAAUUGAUAAAUCCUAAUUUUGUUCUCAAAGAGCAUUUUGUUUAAGUUAAAAUAUUCUUGUUGAUAUCAAUAGGAAUACAUGUUUGAUUUAAUAAAAAAAAAAUGAAAUGUCACAAAGCUUUUCAAGAAGCAAAAUAUGUGUUUACUAAAUUUUCCAAAUUUCCGACUUCAGACUUUUUUGAAUUCGUCUCCUAUUUAAAUGAAACUAACCAUGUUGAAUUGAAAUGCAUUUCACUAUCUCAGAGAUUUCUUAAAUAAAGCACAAAUCUAUGUGUCAUUUCUGAGUCAACUCGCAUAGCGAGCUUCUCCUUGGCAUCAGGCUGGUCCUGCGGAUUGUCGACUUAACUACCACCCUCAUACACAACUGAAUAUAGUUUGACUGCCAGUGUAUGAUAAUUGUUUUGUUAAAUGAAAUCAUUGCAUUGCACAUAAAAUUCUUAAUAAUGCCAACAUUAGCAUUGUUUGUGAAAGAAUGUGAAAAUAUUUUGGAGUUGGGCACGAUAGCAGGUAUGAAUCUGAAUACAGAACUUGGGAGAAGAUUAGACUGAGGAUAUUAAAGCAGACACUGUAUGUCAUCGAGUUUAAAAUUCGUUAAUAAAGUUUUGUAUGAUAUAUUCAAUCUUUAGCCAAACAUUAUAAUGGUCUUUCAAAAUAUUGAUAAUAUUAAUUACGCAUGAUUAUAAGGAAGGGUGUUAGGAGAAUAAGGACUUUGUAUGACUUGAUAUAUUGCAUUUAACCUUCUGUUAAAAUAAAUGAUGUGGCGAUUAGCGAACUAAUAUUCUAACAGAAUUGUGAUGAAAAUAUAUCUGAAAUGAAUUAACGAAUUCUAUAUUCGCUUUGUGUAAAUGCAUAAAGAACGAACAAGUUAACAUUUAUAUACUUCGCGUGGUACAAUUGCACAGGAAUGCUUAUUUACAAAGACGAGAGAAGGGGCAGUCUAAACCUAUGCUCAGGGUUUACAGAGGAGGGAUCUUCAUUGUGCCAGUUCUGUGGUCUCAUCCAAAGGACCAUCCCAUUUAGUUGCCACUUACAACAAGCAAGGGGUGCUAAGGAUCUUAUUCUAACCUGGAUCUGAUGUGUAGGUUGCCAUGGAUAGUGACCUUUGAUCUUGAACUUUGACCUACAAAUAACUUUUGUGUCUUAUGAUUUAACGUUUUAUGGGUAGAUGUGAUGUGUUCCUAAUUUCCGACCUUGAAAUUCCACAGAUAUCUAGUUAAGCAUAAUACUCAUAUGGAUGUAGAUUUUGUUUCUACCAGAUUUUGUUUUUAAAGAUUCAGAAUUAAAGCUCAUAAGAUGAUACUGAACAUUCCUUCCCUCUUUGUAAAUAGUGAAUGAGUAGACUCUGAGGGCCUUCAGACCUUUGAUUAUUACUCUGUAUUUGCAUUUGUGAACCUAUUUUCAUUUAUUUACCUAGGAUCUAUCAGUCAAAAUUGUCCUUGAUUGAUCAUAAUUUUCCAGUCGAAUGAUAGUUUAAAAGAAACAAAAAAAACCAAAAACUUUAAAUACUUGACAAGUACCAAUAUGUUAUGACAUAAGUCAGAGAUUUUGAAAGAAAAUUCCUCGAGUUAGAGAAUUAUAUUUAAAAAGAAUAUUAAAAGGUUUGUGCAAAUGUCAUGAAGGGUUAUGCCCCUUUUCCAAGGGGAGAUAAUUGAGAAAAGGCAAGAGUAGAGUUGGGGUCAUUUAAAAACGUAAACAUGAUUUAGAUGCUAAGUUAUAAAAUAUCAGAUAAACAGAGUUAUCAUGAUGUUUUGAGUCAGGUCCUGCAUUAAACAUUUGAUUAAUUGACUUUGAUAAAUUUAUUUGAAUGUGUAGUUAUAGACCUAAUAUGUUACAAUUGAUUAAUUCUCUAAAAUUAGAAAUUUUGGAUGAAAGACUAUUUCAGCUAGCAUUCUUUGAAAGUAGACACUUUAAGACCAUUAAUAAGGAUACACAACAAAGAAUUAUGAACACAGUGUAUUUGUAAGUUAUUUAAAAAUUCCUAACACCAGUUUUUAAAAAGGUUUGAUGCAUUAGACUUCAGAUAACAUCAUUAGGAUGAAUAUAACUUUAAAUUUAAAACAUCUUUGGCACUUCAUUCACUGUCUGGGUCUGCAGAUGCAGAACUAGGUCAAUUCACCUGUGUCAUAUCAAUCAAGUAUGUUAAAUUAGGUCAUAGGUCAGAUGUGCUGUAGACAUUUAUACAGAUUAAAUCAUCUUGAAAGGUUUAUUAUAUAUAUAUGUGAUGCAAUUAUCUUUAGGCUAUUGCCUCUGCUGAUCACUCUUCAAGCUCAGACAUAUGAAAACCUCUGGGACAGAAAAUGGGCUGAAUGGUUGUGCAUGAUGCUAAACCCCUGUAGAAACGGGUACCUGGUUGUCAUUACUGAAUUGGUCGUCACUGUGAAUGCAUAAUGUAUAUAUGAGUACAAAGUCCUGCGUGCUAUGACAAGAUUGUUAGGUGUGGGAGUACUGUGUAUAAUGUGGUACAAGUUCCCUCAUCUGGAUUGGUGUGUAUGUACAUGUAUUUAAAUUGUAUUUAUUUGUUAACCUUAAAAAUAUGCAUUUUCCAGUAAUACAAAACUUGCAUUUUAAUUAUCUGUUUGUGAAAAUGAGGUGUAAGAAUUCCAGCUAAUGUAUUAUUCUGGACAUAAUGCCCUCACAUUGCACAUGCAGAUUUCCUUCUACAGAUAUUUAUCAUGUAAAGAAGUAGUCUGCUGAAAAGUAUUUGCAUUUGUCUUUUUUCAGACUUGCAUACGUAUGAAGUACUUUAUGAACCUUGGGAUCUGAUGAGUCAUACAUUUAUGUAUAUUUAUAAAUUAUAUAUGAAUGGUGAUGUCAAACAAAUGAAUGAGAGACAUUGAGAUUAAACGAAUGAAUGAGAGACAUUGAGAUUAAACAAAUGAAUCUAAUGUUUCAAAAUAUUUUAAAGUUUGAAUGUGCGAGUUAUAGAGUGUGUUAUACCAUACACUGCAGUGAGACAUACAGUAUGUUUCAUAACAUGGCAAGUUUAGAAAUGAUAUGUUAUAGAACAAAAGCCAGUGUGAAAAUUUGAAAAACCAGUGAAUGACUCUCAAUUUUAGGUCAAGUGACCCAUUGAUAUCCGUUUUUGUGUGUCAUCUCAGUCAUGCGUAAACUCAAUCUGAUUAAAAUUAGAUCCUUUGAUCCGCUCACGUGUAUCGCUACACAAGGAUCUAACAAAACCGCAUACCGAGGUCAAAUAUGCAUAUUCAUUGAUACGUUCAUCCAAUCAGAAAACUCUUAAUAUUUCCAUUUGGUAAAUGAAAAGUUCGGAUACACAAGAAAUAUGGCGACUGAAUAUUGGCGCACGUUAUGAGUUUUGAAUGAUUGAAGAUUCAAUCUUUAAAUAAGGAACAGAAAGAUGUGUUAAUAGCUGUGCUGAAUAAUGAAGACUGUUUGAUAGUUUUUCCUACCCUUUGCGCGUUGUGCUAAAUUAAUCACCUGUCGAAUCACACCAACCUUUUCCUCUGUAACUUAAAUUUUAAUUCAUAUAACUUCUUGAUUUUGGAGUUCCCUUCACUGUCGGUUAGGGGCUGUGUAUCAUUUGGAAAAAUUUCGAUACGAUACGUAUUACAAUACAGAGAGACGAUAUGCGAUACGUAUUGACGAUACAAUAUAAGUACAUUUACACUUAAUUUUGAGGAUUAAAAUGAUUAGAUAAUGACAAAAAUAAAGCUUCGCCUAUUCUUUUUGUUUCAUUUGCAUAUAGUGUUAGCUUGAAUUAAUCUAUCAUAAAAGACAAUUGUGCAAGAAAUUAUUAUCUAUUUGCUUUUAUCAAUAUUGUUAACAUAUUUUUCUCUUCAUGAAAACAAGGGCAUCCACAUUCUCUGGCUUUAAACAAAUCCUAAUUGCUGAUACAAUAUCUCCCGCUCUAAGUCUAAGACAGCAGAGGAAAUUAUUUUCAGGAUGAAUAUUCACAAAUGAAUUUAUUUCAUUUAUUUGUUCAUAUAUUUCUUCGUACAAAAAUUGCGACUGCAGAUCACGUUCGACUCUGAUCACUAGAUACAUCAUUCAUCGAUAGAUUUCUCGCCAUUUUCUUGACAGUUAGCUUUAUGAUGGCAUCGCAUCGUGUUGUUAAAUUACUUGUACCACCAGAACUUACGACCUCUGUUCCACAAACGUUACACUUUGGGUUUUUUUCAAGAUACAAAUAUGUAAUAUUUUCAUAAUAUUGAAAACUGAGACCACGGUAUCAUCACUAUGCGCACACUUUCGACACAUGUUUGUGUUGUAUGCAGUCAUGGAGCAAAUGUCAUUAAGAUAGUUCGUAUAUUUUCAAUUUAUUUGUUAACUCGUUCAUGAAAUCUCGCUGUAAGAUACGUUAAUAACCACUCUUGAUAUAUUAAACGAUACGGGACUCGCUGUAUCGGUUAUUGUAUCGCUAAAAAAUAUUGAUGUAUAUCGAUAAUUGAUAUAUUGAUCCAGCCCUACUGUCGGUCUCUUAUACAACAAAUGAAAAUCCACACCAACAACAAAUAUUUGUCAAACUAUACACUUUUUGAGGUGUCCUCGGCGUGUCUGGCACGUUGCUAUUACCGGAAUACAUCGGCAGCUAUUAGUAAGAUUUCAAUGUUUCAAAUGACCUGCGUUUACACCGUCGAUUUAAAAACCAUUGCACUGAUUGGUUAGACUAAAAGGUCACUAGAUUUGACCUAUGCGGUUUUGUUAGAUCCUUGUGUAGCGAUAUUUGUGAGCGGAUCAAAGGAUCUAAUUUUAAUUAGAUUAAUUGGCGUAAACAUUUCACUUUUUCAAUUUCUUCUCCAGAACUUUUGGACCAAUUUUAACCAAACUUGUCGCAAAGCAUUCUAGGAUAAAGGGGAUUCAAGUUGUUCAAAUGAAGGUUCAUGCCUCUUCUAAGGGGAGAUAAUUAAGAAAAGGCCAGAUUAGGGUGGGGUCAUUGAACAAUCUUCUCAAGAACCAUUGGGCCAGAAAAGAUGAAUUUUAAACUUAUGUGAAAGCUUCGAUCGUGACAGAGCACUGUAUAGAUUCAUUUUAAGUUUGUUAAAAUCUAAGAGAGAGAGAGAGAAGGGGUCUCUCUCUCUGAAAUUUAUCAGCAUAGAGGUUUUGAUGAUGAAAAAUUCCUUCAGACUGACGUGACAAGACGGCACAAUAUGUCUUAAUAUUUGAACUUGUAAAAUUGUUAAACUGACUCAUAUGUAAGAAACAUGUAAAUUUUAAAGAUAUUUGGCCACAAUAGGGGUAGAAAGAUUGACAGGAAUCUUGUAAGAAAAUUGUUAAAUCUUCCUAAGAACCAAUCCAUUUACAGUACUAAGCCUAGUGGUUAGGGCAUUUACUUUCCAACCAGAGGUCUGAGGGUUGAUCCCAGCACUGUGUCGAACCUAAGAUAUUUAACAUAAAUAGAAGUAGUGACUUUUCCUUCACCAAGCACCCAAAAUUAAAAGUGAAAAUCAUAGGUCUUUUGGAUAGGACCUUAAAAUCUGAGGAUUUUGAAAAUUUUGAAUUUAUGCACAAAACUGUGGGUAAACUGUGAGAAAAAUAAUCCUUCAUUAUCUAAUUGUGUGGGAUAGGGAAAUUCCACCUCUGGAACAAGAUUCACUGUCUAGUACUCGACAAAGCCUCGUCCUAGACUGUGAAUCUUGUGCCCCUCAGUGGAAUUUCCUUUUCCCACACUUGUACUAACUACUGAUGAAGGAUUCUAUUAUUAUCUCUAGCAUGGCAAAGCUUACAUGUCUUUGAAACAUAUAUUUCUUCCUACUUACAAUGAUAGGAUGUGACCAUCUGGGAUUAUAUUCAAAUUUUGGGAGCUUUUGAAGUGUGGAGGAAGAAAUGUAAUGAGGUAGUGCUGUGGGUUAUUUGUUGUGUGUGAUUUUUUAAAUUGAUUUAUAAAUAACAUUCACAUAUCACUGGGUAUUUUACAGACCUGUUUUCAGUAAACAGUCAUGAAUUAUCCAAGUUCCAUUAGUUAAAAUGAAUGUGUCUUAAGAAUAUUGUUAUUACAUUUACUAUAUUUUACAUUCAAACAAAAAUAGUGUAUGAUAAUCAGUGCCUCUAGUUAUUGAACUUUACAGCAUUAUUACAAUAUAUUUUUAAUAUGCCCAAAUAUUAUUACAUUGGUCAUAAAUGAUUGCAUUCAAAUUUACCUAAACAUGCAUAAAAUUCCUCAGGUUUGCAAUUUAUUUUUAUGGAAAAAAAACCCAAAUACAAACACAUGUUUAAAGUGUUAAGAAUGACCAGCUGAGUCUAGGUCAAAAGUUGAGACACACUCUUAAACAUGACUCUAAAGAAUAAAAAAAAAAUGUCUGACCACAUAUUUCCUGAUCAAGUUAGACCCAGUUUUAGGGUUGCUGAGUAGUUUAUAGUGACAUUUGGAAAAUGAAUGUGCAUUCUAACAUGGCUAAGUAUGUGGUACCUGUGAAGAUGCCCUGCUGAAUGGCUAUCGAGAUACCAGGAAAUAAAUAUGCCUGUGGCCACUACCCAAUACUUAGCAAUUAUUUCCAGACAAAUAGAUGUAUUGAGAAACUAAUGAAUUGCUAUAUGAUAACGGACUCGUAUGUUACCUGAUGAGAAUAAAGGUCUUCAUAGAAAUGAAAAUUAAAGUAAAUAGUCAAGAAAUAAAGUUUAUUU